AUGAUCCCAGUCACAGGGAAUAUAUUGAUCAUGAAGGUGGUUUCCCCAGGGUUUGGUUCUUCCAUUGCAUGCUUUGCUGGGGUUGACCCUUGGUAUUUCCCCAAAGGUGGAAUACUAAACUGUGUAAUUUAUGGUUUUAAGCUGAUAAAAAGAUCCAUUUCUUUUCUUC